rnacentral:rRNA from 1 species
CAGCCGCCGCGGUAAUACGAAGGGGGCUAGCGUUGCUCGGAAUGACUGGGCGUAAAGGGCGCGUAGGCGGCGAUCAAAGUCAGGCGUGAAAUUCCUGGGCUCAACCUGGGGGCUGCGUUUGAUACUUGAUUGCUAGAGUGGGGAAGAGGGUCGUGGAAUUCCCAGUGUAGAGGUGAAAUUCGUAGAUAUUGGGAAGAACACCGGUGGCGAAGGCGGCGACCUGGUCCUCGACUGACGCUGAGGCGCGAAAGCGUGGGGAGCAAACAGGAUUAGAUACCCGCGUAGUCCCUGUCUCUUAUAC